UGGGGGAUAUUGCACAAUGGGCGAAAGCCUGAUGCAGCGACGCCGCGUGGGGGAUGAAGGCUUUCGGGUUGUAAACCUCUUUCGCUAUCGAACAAGGCCCGCUUAGGGUGGGUUGAGGGUAGGUGGAGAAGAAGCGCCGGCUAACUACGUGCCAGCAGCCGCGGUAAUACGUAGGGCGCGAGCGUUGUCUGGAAUUAUUGGGCGUAAAGGGCUUGUAGGCGGCUUGUUGCGCCUGCUGUGAAAACGCGGGGCUUAACUUCGCGCGUGCAGUGGGUACGGGCAGGCUUGAGUGUGGUAGGGGUGACUGGAAUUCCAGGUGUAGCGGUGGAAUGCGCAGAUAUCUGGAGGAACACCGAUGGCGAAGGCAGGUCACUGGGCCAUUACUGACGCUGAGGAGCGAAAGCAUGGGUAGCGAACAGG
rnacentral:rRNA from 1 species